CUGGAGUUGAGGCUCAGCGGUAGAGCGCUCUCCUAGCAUGCGUGAGGCGCUGGAUUCAAUCCUCAGCACCACAUA
rnacentral:tRNA from 1 species